rnacentral:rRNA from 1 species
GUGAGGAAUAUUGGUCAACGGGCGAGAGCCUGAACCAGCCAAGUCGCGUGAAGGAAGACGGCCCUACGGGUUGUAAACUUCUUUUGCAAUGGAAUAAAAAGAGUUACGUGUAAUUCAUUGUAUGUACAUUGCGAAUAAGGAUCGGCUAACUCCGUGCCAGCAGCCGCGGUAAUACGGAGGAUCCGAGCGUUAUCCGGAUUUAUUGGGUUUAAAGGGUGCGUAGGCGGAUUGGAAAGUCAGCGGUGAAAGUUUGCAGCUUAACUGUAAAAUUGCCAUUGAAACUGUCAGUCUUGAGUGCAAAUGAGGUAGGCGGAAUGUGUUGUGUAGCGGUGAAAUGCAUAGAUAUAACACAGAACACCAAUUGCGAAGGCAGCUUACUGGGAUGCAACUGACGCUGAGGCACGAAAGCGUGGGGAUCAAACAGGAUUAGAAACCCUUGUAGUCC